rnacentral:lncRNA from 1 species
CGGAGUUGUGGUUUGCACGAUAUGUAAUCUUGUCUUUUCUUCUUAGUUUCAGGGUACAAAAAUCUUUUAGACCACCGGAUAGAUUCAUUUCCCACAAUAUAGAAAUGCAUUUCUAUUUUCCGAAUUCCAUAUGGAUAGAAAGUCUCCCUUUUUUUUUGUUACUUUAACAACUGAACAUAUACUUAGAUAGAAAAAUUAGAUAGAAAAAUGUCUAUGGAAUAUAUUUCCUACAUGAAUAUCAAA